rnacentral:misc_RNA from 1 species
AACGCACCUUGCGCUCCUUGGUAUUCCGAGGAGCAUGCCUGUUUGAGUGUCAUGUUUUCCUCAGCCCCUCUUGGAUUUUUUCUGGGAUGGAGCUGGAUGUGGGGGUUGCAGGCUUUCUUUUUUUGUAAAGUCUGCUCCUCUUAAAUGAAUUAGUGUGAAUGUUACUAAAUGUUUCCCCAGUGUAAUAAUUAUUUGCGCUGUUGGAUUCUCUGUAUAUGUUCAUGCUUACAGCUUGUCCUUUCAAUAGGAUAAUAUACUUUUGUGUUUGACCUCAAAUCAGGUAGGACUACCCGCUGAACUUAA